rnacentral:rRNA from 1 species
AUUGAACGCUGGCGGCAGGCCUAACACAUGCAAGUCGAGCGGAGCGGCGGACGGGUGAGUAAUGCUUAGGAAUCUGCCAGGUAGUGAGGGAUAACGUUCGGAAACGGGCGCUAAUACCGCAUACUCUCAGAUUCACCUAUGUCGGAUUAGGUAGUUGGGGGGGGAAAGGCCUACCAAGGCGACGACCAGUAACUGGUCUUAGAGGAUGAUCAGUCACACUGGAACUGAGAAACGGGCCCAACUCCUACGGGAGGCAGCAGUGGGGAAUUUUGGACAAUGGGGGAAAGCCUGAUCCAGCCAUGCCGCGUGGUUGGAGGAGGUCUUCGGAUUGUAAAGCUCUUUAAGGUGGGGGGCGUUUCCCACAGAAUGAACACCGGCUAACUUCGUGCCAACAGCCGCGGUAAUAC